GCGGCGGACGGGUGAGUAACGCGUGGAAAUAUGCCCUUCUCUAAGGAAUAGCCUCGGGAAACUGAGAGUAAUACCUUAUACGCCCUACGGGGGAAAGAUUUAUCGGAGAAGGAUUAGCCCGCGUUAGAUUAGGUAGUUGGUGGGGUAAUGGCCUACCAAGCCUACGAUCUAUAGCUGGUUUGAGAGGAUGAUCAGCCACACUGGGACUGAGACACGGCCCAGACUCCUACGGGAGGCAGCAGUAGGGAAUCUUAGACAAUGGGGGAAACCCUGAUCUAGCCAUGCCGCGUGUGUGAUGAAGGCCUUAGGGUCGUAAAGCACUUUCGCCAGAGAUGAUAAUGACAGUAUCUGGUAAAGAAACCCCGGCUAACUCCGUGCCAGCAGCCGCGGUAAUACGGAGGGGGUUAGCGUUGUUCGGAAUUACUGGGCGUAAAGCGCACGUAGGCGGAUUAGUAAGUUAGAGGUGAAAUCCCAGGGCUC
rnacentral:rRNA from 1 species